AUGUUAUCUGUAUCUCUCUUGAUGCUUCUGCUGGCAGCUGUUAACUGUGUUCACAGUGAAGAACUCACUCAGCCACCCUCUAUGACUAUCCAGCCAGGUCAACCACUGACCAUUUCCUGUAAGGUCUCAUAUUCAGUAGGUAGCUAUUACACAGGUUGGAUUCGACAACCUGCAGGGAAAACACUGGAAUGGAUUGGAAUGAAAUACACUGGAGGCACAGAGCAGAAAGACUCCCUGAAGAACAAGUUCAAGUUGGAGGAAGACUCAUCCAGCAAUACAGUGACUUUAACUGGGCAUAACGUAGAAGCUGAAGACACAGCUGUGUAUUAUUGUGCCAGACAUUCACAGUGA